rnacentral:rRNA from 1 species
GACAGAGGGUGCAAACGUUGUUCGGAAUUACUGGGCGUAAAGGGCCCGUAGGCGGCCAACUAAGUCAGACGUGAAGUCCCUCGGCUUAACCGGGGAACUGCGUCUGAUACUGGAUGGCUUGAGGUUGGGAGAGGGAUGCGGAAUUCCAGGUGUAGCGGUGAAAUGCGUAGAUAUCUGGAGGAACACCGGUGGCGAAGGCGGCAUCCUGGACCAAUUCUGACGCUGAGGAGCGAAAGCCAGGGGAGCAAACGGG